rnacentral:rRNA from 1 species
GAUGAACGCUAGCUACAGGCUUAACACAUGCAAGUCGAGGGGUAACGAGAGGAAAGCUUGCUUUCCUUGUCGACGACCGGCGCACGGGUGAGUAACGCGUAUCCAACCUGCCCCCAACUAAGGAAUAACCUUGCGAAAGUAAGACUAAUACCCUAUAAUUUCCUCAGAUGUCAUCUGACGAGGAAUAAAGAUUUAUCGGUUGUGGAUGGGGAUGCGUCUGAUUAGUUUGUUGGCGGGUACGGCCCACCAAGGCAACGAUCAGUAGGGGUUCUGACAGGAACUUCGCCCACAUUGGGACUGCGACACGGUCCAAACUCCUACGGGAGGCAGCAGUGAGGAAUAUUGGUCAAUGGGCGGAAGCCUGAACCAGCCAAGUAGCGUGCAGGAUGACGGCCCUAUGGGUUGUAAACUGCUUUUAUACAGGAAUAAAGUUAGCCACGUGUGGUUAUUUGUAGGUACUGUAUGAAUAAGGACCGGCUAAUUCCGUGCCAGCCGCCGCAGUAA